rnacentral:rRNA from 1 species
GAUUCGUCACACUAUCAUUAACUGAAUCCAUAGGUUAAUGAGGCGAACCGGGGGAACUGAAACAUCUAAGUACCCCGAGGAAAAGAAAUCAACCGAGAUUCCCCCAGUAGCGGCGAGCGAACGGGGAGGAGCCCAGAGCCUGAAUCAGCAUGUGUGUUAGUGGAAGCGUCUGGAAAGGCGCGCGAUACAGGGUGACAGCCCCGUACACAAAAGCGCAUGUGCUGUGAGCUCGAUGAGUAGGGCGGGACACGUGGUAUCCUGUCUGAAUAUGGGGGGACCAUCCUCCAAGGCUAAAUACUCCUGACUGACCGAUAGUGAACCAGUACCGUGAGGGAAAGGCGAAAAGAACCCCGGCGAGGGGAGUGAAAAAGAACCUGAAACCGUGUACGUACAAGCAGUGGGAGCACCCUUCGGGGUGUGACUGCGUACCUUUUGUAUAAUGGGUCAGCGACUUAUAUUCUGUAGCAAGGUUAACCGUAUAGGGGAGCCGGAGGGAAACCGAGUCUUAACCGGGCGUUAAGUUGCAGGGUAUAGACCCGAAACCCGGUGAUCUAGCCAUGGGCAGGUUGAAGGUUGGGUAACACUAACUGGAGGACCGAACCGACUAAUGUUGAAAAAUUAGCGGAUGACCUGUGGCUGGGGGUGAAAGGCCAAUCAAACCGGGAGAUAGCUGGUUCUCCCCGAAAGCUAUUUAGGUAGCGCCUCGUGAAUUCAUCUCCGGGGGUAGAGCACUGUUUCGGCUAGGGGGCCAUCCCGGCUUACCAACCCGAUGCAAACUGCGAAUACCGGAGAAUGUUAUCACGGGAGACACACGGCGGGUGCUAACGUCCGUCGUGAAGAGGGAAACAACCCAGACCGCCAGCUAAGGUCCCAAAGUCAUGGUUAAGUGGGAAACGAUGUGGGAAGGCCCAGACAGCCAGGAUGUUGGCUUAGAAGCAGCCAUCAUUUAAAGAAAGCGUAAUAGCUCACUGGUCGAGUCGGCCUGCGCGGAAGAUGUAACGGGGCUAAACCAUGCACCGAAGCUGCGGCAGCGAACGUAUCACCCAAGACAACUUUACGGAGUUGACGAUUGACGGAGCGAAGCGACGUCAAAGCGUUCAUUAAAGUCGAGUUGGCUUAGGGAUACGUUCGUUGGGUAGGGGAGCGUUCUGUAAGCCUGUGAAGGUGUGUCGUGAGGCAUGCUGGAGGUAUCAGAAGUGCGAAUGCUGACAUAAGUAACGAUAAAGCGGGUGAAAAGCCCGCUCGCCGGAAGACCAAGGGUUCCUGUCCAACGUUAAUCGGGGCAGGGUGAGUCGACCCCUAAGGCGAGGCCGAAAGGCGUAGUCGAUGGGAAACGGGUUAAUAUUCCCGUACUUGGUGUUACUGCGAAGGGGGGACGGAGAAGGCUAUGUUGGCCGGGCGACGGUUGUCCCGGUUUAAGCGUGUAGGUGUGUGUUCCAGGUAAAUCCGGUUCACUUUAACACUGAGGCGUGACGACGAGGCACUACGGUGCUGAAGCAACAAAUGCCCUGCUUCCAGGAAAAGCCUCUAAGCAUCAGGUAACAUCAAAUCGUACCCCAAACCGACACAGGUGGUCAGGUAGAGAAUACCAAGGCGCUUGAGAGAACUCGGGUGAAGGAACUAGGCAAAAUGGUGCCGUAACUUCGGGAGAAGGCACGCUGACACGUAGGUGAAGUGAUUUACUCAUGGAGCUGAAGUCAGUCGAAGAUACCAGCUGGCUGCAACUGUUUAUUAAAAACACAGCACUGUGCAAACACGAAAGUGGACGUAUACGGUGUGACGCCUGCCCGGUGCCGGAAGGUUAAUUGAUGGGGUCAGCGCAAGCGAAGCUCCUGAUCGAAGCCCCGGUAAACGGCGGCCGUAACUAUAACGGUCCUAAGGUAGCGAAAUUCCUUGUCGGGUAAGUUCCGACCUGCACGAAUGGCGUAAUGAUGGCCAGGCUGUCUCCACCCGAGACUCAGUGAAAUUGAACUCGCUGUGAAGAUGCAGUGUACCCGCGGCAAGACGGAAAGACCCCGUGAACCUUUACUAUAGCUUGACACUGAACAUUGAGCCUUGAUGUGUAGGAUAGGUGGGAGGCUUUGAAGUGUGGACGCCAGUCUGCAUGGAGCCGACCUUGAAAUACCACCCUUUAAUGUUUGAUGUUCUAACGUGGACCCGUAAUCCGGGUUGCGGACAGUGUCUGGUGGGUAGUUUGACUGGGGCGGUCUCCUCCUAAAGAGUAACGGAGGAGCACGAAGGUUGGCUAAUCCUGGUCGGACAUCAGGAGGUUAGUGCAAUGGCAUAAGCCAGCUUGACUGCGAGCGUGACGGCGCGAGCAGGUGCGAAAGCAGGUCAUAGUGAUCCGGUGGUUCUGAAUGGAAGGGCCAUCGCUCAACGGAUAAAAGGUACUCCGGGGAUAACAGGCUGAUACCGCCCAAGAGUUCAUAUCGACGGCGGUGUUUGGCACCUCGAUGUCGGCUCAUCACAUCCUGGGGCUGAAGUAGGUCCCAAGGGUAUGGCUGUUCGCCAUUUAAAGUGGUACGCGAGCUGGGUUUAGAACGUCGUGAGACAGUUCGGUCCCUAUCUGCCGUGGGCGCUGGAGAACUGAGGGGGGCUGCUCCUAGUACGAGAGGACCGGAGUGGACGCAUCACUGGUGUUCGGGUUGUCAUGCCAAUGGCACUGCCCGGUAGCUAAAUGCGGAAGAGAUAAGUGCUGAAAGCAUCUAAGCACGAAACUUGCCCCGAGAUGAGUUCUCCCUGAGACUUAGAGUCUCCUGAAGGAACGUUGAAGACGACGACGUUGAUAGGCCGGGUGUGUAAGCGCAGCGAUGCGUUGAGCUAACCGGUACUAAUGAACCGUGAGGCUUAACCUUACAACGCCGAAG